rnacentral:rRNA from 1 species
GAUGAACGCGGGCGGCGUGCCUAAUACAUGCAAGUAGAACGCUGAAGCUUGGUGCUUGCACCGAGCGGGAGAGUUGCGAACGGGUGAGUAACGCGUAGGUAACCUGCCUCUUAGCGGGGGAUAACUAUUGGAAACGAUAGCUAAUACCGCAUAAAAGUCGGCAUUGCAUGAUGUUGACUUGAAAGGUGCAACUGCAUCACUAAGAGAUGGACCUGCGUUGUAUUAGCUAGUUGGUGAGGUAACGGCUCACCAAGGCGACGAUACAUAGCCGACCUGAGAGGGUGACCGGCCACACUGGGACUGAGACACGGCCCAGACUCCUACGGGAGGCAGCAGUAGGGAAUCUUCGGCAAUGGACGGAAGUCUGACCGAGCAACGCCGCGUGAGUGAAGAAGGUUUUCGGAUCGUAAAGCUCUGUUGUAAGAGAAGAACGAGUGUGAGAGUGGAAAGUUCACACUGUGACGGUAACUUACCAGAAAGGGACGGCUAACUACGUGCCAGCAGCCGCGGUAAUACGUAGGUCCCGAGCGUUAUCCGGAUUUAUUGGGCGUAAAGCGAGCGCAGGCGGUUAGAUAAGUCUGAAGUUAAAGGCUGUGGCUUAACCAUAGUACGCUUUGGAAACUGUUUAACUUGAGUGCAGAAGGGGAAAGUGGAAUUCCAUGUGUAGCGGUGAAAUGCGUAGAUAUAUGGAGGAACACCGGUGGCGAAAGCGGCUCUCUGGUCUGUAACUGACGCUGAGGCUCGAAAGCGUGGGGAGCAAACAGG